CACUGCAUGAGAGUUACAGCACUAUAAAGAGGCAAAAGUGGGCCAAAGACUUUUCCCAUGGCUUCUAAGAAAACUUCUGAACACUCUUACCCAGACCAUCCAUUCACUGCCUGCUGCUUCUAGAAUUUUAGCUGAGAACACCUGCUCUAGACAUUCUGGUCAUCCAAGGCAGAACAAAGCUUCAUUUACAGAGUAUAUGCUGGACUCUCUGGAGAAGGUGUGCUCCUCAGUUCCAGGUACUUGACACCAUCAUCUGCAAAUUCUUUAAUGACAUCUUUUGUGACCUGAUAAUAAAGGCAAUGUACACAACAUUA